AAGUCAACUAGGCCCUUCUGGGGUCUGUUUUGGGCUCCGUCGUCUUCGGCGUUGCCUCGAGAUCAUGUUGCUACAAGCGGACGAGAUCCUUUAGGACCAGCUGCUUUUGUGGCCGCACAAACUUAG
rnacentral:misc_RNA from 1 species